rnacentral:hammerhead_ribozyme from 1 species
GCACUGCUGACGAGUCCCAAACAGGAUGAAACAGUAAUCCAGUGC